rnacentral:rRNA from 1 species
UACGGAGGAUCCGAGCGUUAUCCGGAUUUAUUGGGUUUAAAGGGAGCGUAGGUGGAUUGUUAAGUCAGUUGUGAAAGUUUGCGGCUCAACCAUAAAAUUGCAGUUGAAACUGGCAGGCUGGAGUGCCGGAGAGGCAGGCGGAAUUCCUAGUGUAGCGGUGAAAUGCGUAGAUAUUAGGAGGAACACCAGUGGCGAAGGCGGCCUGCUGGACGGUGACUGACGCUGAGGCUCGAAAGCGUGGGGAGCAAACAGG